rnacentral:rRNA from 1 species
CGAGCGCAACCCUUGUCUUCAGUUACCAUCAUUCAGUUGGGGGACGUCUGGAGAGACUGCCCGGUGGACAAACCGGAGGAAGGUGGGGAUGACGUCAAAUCAUCAUGCCCCUUAUGACCUGGGCUACACACGUACUACAAUGGCGUAUACAACGGGAAGCGAAAUGGUGACAUGGAGCAAAUCUCACAAAGUACGUCUCAGUUCGGAUUGAAGUCUGCAACUCGACUUCAUGAAGUCGGAAUCGCUAGUAAUCGCGGAUCAGCAUGCCGCCGGUGAACUACGUUCUCGGGCCUU